AGCUUCAGAUCGGCUCCACCCCUCCCCUCUCCACUCCACAACAGCCAUGGCUGGAGGCUGAUGGAGACGUUUUUCACCUCCCCCAUUUCUAUCCUCCCGUAAAAAUCAAGUCCACCCAGCCAGAUCCCGUCUGUCACCAGUUCUGGCGGCGGCGUGCAGCACCCGGCGAUCUAAGAAACAGUACUGCUAGCAGUAGUGGCGGACAAUGGCGAGCAGCAGCGCAAGGAGCGGCGAUGCGGCUGAUGUGCGAGCUGUGGACCGGGCUGCUUGUCGAGCGGUGGCGCGUGUGGAUGGCCGAGCGACAACGCAGGCUGAAGGGUUCUAUUCUGCUGUGUUCUCCUUCUCAUGAAGGGUAAUGGAGGUGGGAGAUCCAUAUCGCUAGCUUCAUCCAAUGUCAAAUCCAUGUACCAGGCAAGCGGCCAAGAAUGCCUUCUCCCUGCCCGGCUAGAAGUUGGAUCCUUCCAAGAGGGAACCUCUCAGGAUUUUCUACGAGUCACU